rnacentral:rRNA from 1 species
AUUGAACGCUGGCGGCAGGCCUAACACAUGCAAGUCGAGCGGAUGAGAGGAGCUUGCUUCUCGAUUCAGCGGCGGACGGGUGAGUAAUGCCUAGGAAUCUGCCUGGUAGUGGGGGACAACGUUUCGAAAGGAACGCUAAUACCGCAUACGUCCUACGGGAGAAAGCAGGGGACCUUCGGGCCUUGCGCUAUCAGAUGAGCCUAGGUCGGAUUAGCUAGUUGGUGAGGUAAUGGCUCACCAAGGCGACGAUCCGUAACUGGUCUGAGAGGAUGAUCAGUCACACUGGAACUGAGACACGGUCCAGCCUCCUACGGGAGGCAGCAGUGGGGAAUAUCGGACAGUGGGCGAAAGCCUGAUCCAGCCAUGCCGCGUGUGUGAAGAAGGUCUUCGGAUUGUAAAGCACUUUAAGUUGGGAGGAAGGGUUGUAGAUUAAUACUCUGCAAUUUUGACGUUACCGACAGAAUAAGCACCGGCUAACUCUGUGCCAGCAGCCGCCGUAAAAC